UUGAUUUUUAAACUAUAACUCUAAAACUUGUGUUUCAUUAAUCUUUUAGGGAGAGGAGUGGAGGUGAUGGGCUAAUGUGAACCUCCUCUUUAAAAAGAGAGGAGAGAAGAGGAGAGAAGAGGAGGACAGAAGAGGAGGUGGAGGGCGAGUCUGAACCUUCUCUUUUAAAAGAGAGAAUAUGAGAGGAGACAAGGAGAGGAGAAGAGGAGAGGAGGUGGAGGGCCAGUGUGAACCUUCUCUAUUAAAAG